CGAGUGGCGAACGGGUGAGUAACACGUGGGUGAUCUGCCCUGCACUUUGGGAUAAGCCUGGGAGACUGGGUCUAAUACCAGAUAGGACCAUGCUUUGGAUGGUGUGGUGGAAAGUUUUUCGGUGUGGGAUGAGCUUGCGGCCUAUCAGCUUGUUGGUGGGGUAAUGGCCUACCAAGGCGUCGACGGGUAGCCGGCCUGAGAGGGUGUACGGCCACAUUGGGACUGAGAUACGGCCCAG
rnacentral:rRNA from 1 species